rnacentral:lncRNA from 1 species
UGUUUAUGGAAAGUACCUUUAGUAAAGCUGGAUAAAGUUUGAAAUACAAAAAAAAGUUGGAGGUGUCACACUACCAGACCCCAAAAUAUAUUACAAAGUUGUAGUAACCAAAAUGGGCAUUAAAAAACACGUAGAUCAAUGGAACAGAAUAGAGAACGCAGAAAUAAAUGCACAUAUUUAUAGUCAACUGAUUUUUGUCAAAACUACCAAGAACACUCAUUGGAGAAAGAACCGUUUCUUCAAUAAGUAGUUCUAGGAAAAGUGGAUGAAACUAGACCCCUACCUCUCACCCAAUACAAACGUCAACUUAAAGUGGAUCAAAGACCUAAAUUUAAGACCUGAAACCAUGAAAUUACUAGAAGAAGUUCUUCGUGGAAAAUGCUUCAGGAUAUGAGUCUGGGAAAAGAUUUUAUGAAUAGGAUAUCCAAAGCACAAGCAACAAAAACAAAAAUAAACAAAUGGCAUUAUAGCAAACUAAAAAGUUUCUGCGCAGCAAAGGGUACAACCAAUAGAGUGAAAAGAUAAUUCAUCUCGCCCCAGUUCGGAUGGCUGUUAUCAAAAAGACAAAAAAUAUAAAAUGCUGGUGAGGAUGCAAAGAAAAGGGAAUUCUUAUACAUUGUUGGUGGAAAUGUAAACUAGUACACACACACACACACACACACAAUGGAAUACUAUUCAGUCAUGAAAAAUAAUGAAAUCUUGUCAUUUGCAGCACCGUGGAUGAAACUGGAGGACACUAUGUUAAGUAAGGCUAGAAGAGAAACUUAAAUACUGCAUGUUCUCACUUACAUGUGGAAGCUUAAAAAAGUACAUUCAUAACGUUGUAUUUAGGUUGAUGUAAAAGUAGUUGCGAUUUUUUUGCCAUUGAAUGCUAUGGCAAAAACUGCAAUUACUUUUGCACCAACCUAAUACACCAUCACCACUAUCUAUUUCCAGAACUUUUUUCAUUAUCCCAAACAGAAACUUAAGGUCUGGACUGUCCCAAAUUAUUAAUGUUUCCAAGGACCACAAAUAAACUACAAAAAUUUUUACUGAGGGGAUCAUAAGCAUGCAUCAUACAGUUUGUUUAUUCAUUAUUAAAAAGUAUUUAUUCAACUCCUUCUACGUACCCAGCUCCAGGCUAGGUGCUGUGAAUAAUAACAGCAAUUACUCGGAUUUGUAUAGUACAUGUUAUGUGCAGGUACUGUUCUAAGUGUUUAACAUGUAUUAACUCAACAAAGACAAGUAAGCUGGUCUUUGAUCCCAAGGACCAUACAUUUAGAGUGCUAAGGAUUAUGAUAAAAAUUGGCACGGGCUAGCAGGCUUAAGGAAGGUUAAUAAACCAAACUGAACACUCAAGUCCACCUAAAAAGGAUCUAACAUCAAUCCAUUUUAAGCCUAUUGUCCUUGAAGAUUGGCUGAACUAGUUUCACAGGUUACAUAAGCUGUCACCAUAUUGCAUUAUGGCCCAUUCAGGUCAGCAGCCUUUAAUACCGGCGCUUACUUCAGGGAGGGGUACAGGAACUUUUCAGUUCAAAAGGGAUUACUCCUAUUAAUAGAUUCUUGCUGUAUUCUUGUUCAAGAGGUGUACCUCAGGGGGUGUUGCCGGUUAGACAACAUUUUCCUUUGUCCUCAGAUUUGGGUGGGUCCGUGAAGUUUCCGUGUGACAGCUACAAAGUGCCCAAUACACUGGCUGCUGGGAGGGGAAUUUGUUCCUAGGAGCUUUGCUCACAGGGAUGACAAGAAUCUCCUCAUAACGCAGCAAAAAUAAGGAUUUGGAAAGCUUUUAGCCUAUCCAGCAACAGAUCUCAAAAUGUGGUCCCAGACAAAAAACAUGAGCUUCACUUUGGAACUUGGACCCCAUAGCAAUUUGAGUUUUAACAAGUUCUGGAGUUGCUUCUAACUCUAAAGUUUCAGUAGUCAAUUCAGUCUCUUUUCUUGUAUGGUUACUUUGUCUGAAAAAACCUGUUUAGUAUCCUUAAUAUUCAUACUUAGAUAUUUAUACUUAGAUUUCCAAAAUGGUCUCUUAAGAACAGAAAGAAGUCAAUGAACUUUGCCUGUUAAACAGAGAUCUGCAAGCCCCAAUUUUUAAAAGUUUCUUUUUUCUUUUCUUUUCUUUUCUUUUUUUUUUUUUUAAGAUGGGGUUCCCUCUUGUUGCCCAGGCAGGAGUGCAAUGGCACGAUCUUGGCUCACUGAAACCUCCGCCUCCUGGUUUCAAGCGAUUCUCUCUCCUGCCUCAGCCUCCCGAGUAGCUGGGAUUACAGGUGCACGCCAAC